GAGAAAUCGAAUUCACCAGGCACUGGAAUAGGCCACCUUUGUGGAGGACAUCCCAAUCAAACAUUCUCACAGAGUCAGAGAAUGAGGCCUUGAAGAGAGUCAGCUAUGACUAUGACUGAUGGUGUUGCCAAGAAGUUCUACAAUAGAUGAAAAGCCUGGGUCUGGUACUGCCAAUUACCUGAACAGUACUUUUCAAAAUAUAAACCUGAGAAACUUCUGACUCAGAAAUCGUACAGAAUACUAUACUGUAACUGACAGAAAGGUGCAUCUGUGAAGGCUUUUAUGUCCUGUGUCCCAAAAUCCA